GGAGGGGGCCNGCGUUGUUCGGAAUCAUUGGGCGUAAAGGGCGCCUAGGUGGCGCAGCAAGUCGGAUGUGAAAGCCCUCGGCUCAACCGGGGAAUUGCAUCCGAAACUGCUGCGCUUGAGUCCUGGAGAGGGUAGCGGAAUUCCCAGUGUAGCGGUGAAAUGCGUAGAUACUGGGAGGAACACCGGUGGCGAAGGCGGCUACCUGGACAGGUACUGACACUGACGCGCGAAAGCGUGGGGAGCAAACAGGAUUAGAUACCCUGGUAGUCCACGCUGUAAACGAUGGGCACUUGGUGUUGCGGGUAUCGACCCCUGCAGUGCCGAAGCUAACGCAUUAAGUGCCCCGCCUGGGGAGUACGGUCGCAAGGCUG
rnacentral:rRNA from 1 species